CUCAGAGCACUGAAGCCCAGUGGCCGUGUUGGCUGAGGACAGUGCAAAUCUGUGAGCAACAGAAUGCCAAAAAGGAAGGGAUGGGGAUUUGGACAAGAAAAGCACAUCUGCUUUAUACCAUCACAGGAUAUAACCUCGGAAGCUUUUGCCCUCCUCUCAAAACCGAAGGAAAUGAAUGGAAUCCAGCUUUCACAUCCUUGGCAAAGUCUCCGAGGGUCUAGUAUCAGCAGUAGAGGUGGGGUAAGAAAUCUAUCUGCCUCCUUACUUGCUAGAAAGUUUGAAAAGUCAGUCAGCAGAAGGGCACUGCUGACCAGGCUCCUUGGUUCCACAGACUGCCUGAUGAGUACACGCGGUUUGGAAUAUUGAAAGGGUCAGCUGGGAGAUGAAUUAGUGGCUCUGUUUCUCAUGCCAGCUUCGUUCCUCUCACUCGGCCACCUUUGAGCUCAGCGCGCUAUUGCAACUGACCUUCAGCUUGAGACGCUGCUGAUUCUUCUCUUUAAGGAUACUCCUUGGAGUUUGAGGGGCUCAGAGGUAUGUGGAUUGCUGAAAUUGGACUUACGUGGCAUAUUUACCUUGAAAAGCUGAGGUUUGUAUAAAGAGGCCCCUGGCAGCUGGCUGUCAGUGGGGCAGGAAGAGGAAAGAAAAAUCCAAAGGGGAGAAUGAGGCUUCAGAGAGAGGCUAACUCCUGGACACGGGGCUGAAGGAGAGGAGCAAGGACGGUAGUCAGCAGUCCAGCGCAUCCCUCAGUGCGUGGGAUCUAAGUGAGAGGACACUGAUGGGAGUGCUGUGCGAUUCAGAGGAAUAAUCACAGACCGUUUACUGAACUGCCAAACUGCCCGGCAGCAGCCCAUCUGACCACCCAACGAGCUUCCCAGCAACACAAACCAGAAAGUCAGUAAGACACCACCAGUUUCCAAAUUCUAUGUCAUUGCACAUAAACCGGAAGUCUCAACGAUCAAUAACAUGUUACUGAAUUACAAUCAGAAGUCGGUGUAGCAACACCUCGAUGAGCAAGUGUGUCCAAGAGGCAUUUGAGUCAAAAAAGUGAAUUCCAAAAUUUUCAAAUGGAAUAAGGAGAUCAGAUCGUAAUCUGGCGAGCAAUGUCUUCAAGACAGCAUGUCUUGAAGUACAAGAGAGAAAAAGUGAAGACGACAGAGAAAGACUGCAGUCGAACUUUUAAAAAAAUGGUCCAGAGUUCAGUACCAAUUAACUAUUCCUGUUUCUCUACACCCACGAUGGAACAUUUCCAGCAUCUCUGAGUUUGUGUUAACUGGCCUCAACUUCAUUUCCGACUGACUGAGAGUUGAAUUUCUAAAGCUACUGUUGAUUGAUGGUUGGGCCCCUACCUACCUUAGCAAUGGUUCCAAGGAGGUCCAUGAGGCUAAUUCACUAACCACUAUUUUGGUAGUAGAUGCACAUCUUCAGGACCUAAGGGAACUAUCAAGGUUGGCCUUCCAAAUUGUUUUGCAAAAAAUCAUCAGUUUCUCAAAAUCUGCUUAGCUGAACAAAUGAUCACUGAUCCCAUGUGUACAGACACCACCACUCUACUUCUCCUGUCAUCCGUCUCCUUCCCUUUAUUGCUCUCAUAUUAGUAGAUUAAAAGAUCAGAAGUGCCA